CAAACAGGCUGAAAGUAGUAAAAGAUUGUCUUUUCAGGAUUUAAUGGCUUUAUCAAAGGUCCACAACAGGUCUAAAGUAUUUUAUAAUCGUGAAUUUUAUGGAUUGCCUAUACCAGCAGACUCGAUAAAUAAAAAUAAUUAUAAAAUGCGAAACAUACACAACUUAAAGUAUGGAACUUCUGUAAGUCCCAUGGUUGAUAUAACAAAUAUGCAGACACAAAUUUCUAGCCUUGAUACUAAAAAGCAGAUAAAGUUGC